CCCCAGGAGAUUCACCCCCUUGGGUCCUUCUUCUGAUGGGCCCAGUUCUCAACAUGAUACAUGGCCGGGCCUUUCCUUCCCCACCCCCAGGUUGGUCCCUUCCCUCCCUCCCCAAGGCUGCCCCCAGGAAUCCCGUCUGCUCCGUGGGGCUGCUAGCGCGGGAGCAGGCAGAUCUCGUAGCUGCGGGGCAGGGUGGCGAACCCGACCAGCCUCGGGGAGAUGUCGAUGUCCUUGGGCUCCACGGGGGAGCGGAAGCGGAAGUUCUGCAGGAUGCUG